UACGGAGGAUCCAAGCGUUAUCCGGAAUCAUUGGGUUUAGAGGGUCCGUAGGCGGGCCUGUAAGUCAGUGGUGAAAUCUCCCCGCUCAACGGGGAAACUGCCAUUGAUACUGCAGGUCUUGAAUUAUUGGGAAGUAACUAGAAUAUGUAGUGUAGCGGUGAAAUGCUUAGAUAUUACAUGGAAUACCGAUUGCGAAGGCAGGUUACUAUCAAUACAUUGACGCUGAUGGACGAAGGCGUGGGGAGCGAACAGG
rnacentral:rRNA from 1 species